rnacentral:rRNA from 1 species
AAGACCUUACGCUUUUGGAGCGGCCGAUGUCUGAUUAGCUUGUUGGUGAGGUAAAGGCUUACCAAGGCUUCGAUCAGUAGCUGGUCUGAGAGGACGACCAGCCACACUGGGACUGAGACACGGCCCAGACUCCUACGGGAGGCAGCAGUGGGGAAUUUUGGACAAUGGGGGAAACCCUGAUCCAGCCAUGCCGCGUGAGUGAAGAAGGCCCUCGGGUUGUAAAGCUCUUUCAGCCGGAACGAAACGGUUACGAUUAAUACCUGUAACUACUGACGGUACCGGAAGAAGAAGCACCGGCUAACUACGUGCCAGCAGCCGCGGUAAUACGUAGGGUGCGAGCGUUAAUCGGAAUUACUGGGCGUAAAGCGUGCGCAGGUGGUUUUGUAAGUCAGAUGUGAAAUCCCCGGGCUUAACCUGGGAACU